rnacentral:rRNA from 1 species
CAGUCGCCGCGGUAAUACGUAGGGUGCAAGCGUUAAUCGGAAUUACUGGGCGUAAAGCGUGCGCAGGCGGUUCUAUAAGACAGAUGUGAAAUCCCCGGGCUCAACCUGGGAACUGCAUUUGUGACUGUAGAGCUGGAGUGCGGCAGAGGGGGAUGGAAUUCCGCGUGUAGCAGUGAAAUGCGUAGAUAUGCGGAGGAGCACCGAUGGCGAAGGCAAUCCCCUGGGCCUGCACUAACGCUCAUGCACGAAAGCGUGGGGAGCAAACAGGAUUAGAUACCCCUGUAGUCCCUGUCUCUUAUAC